rfam:Schistosoma mansoni strain Puerto Rico chromosome W, complete genome
GCACUGCUAAGGAGUCCCACAAUAGGACAAAACGGCCGUCCAGUGC